rnacentral:rRNA from 1 species
AGAGGCCCUAGUUGAUAGACACGGCGUAAAGGGUGGUUAAGGGAGAAUGAAAAUAAAGCCGAAGGGCCCUUUGGCCGUUAUACGCUUCCAGGAGUCCGAAGCCCAAGCACGAAAGUAGCUUUAAUUUAGUCCACCUGACCCCACGAAAGCUGAGGAACAAACUGGGAUUAGAUACCCCACUAUGCUCAGCCAUAAACCUAAAUAUUAUAUUACAAUAAAUAUUCGCCAGGGUACUACGAGCGUCA